ACGCUGGCGGCAGGCCUAACACAUGCAAGUUCGAACGCUGUAGCAAUACAGAGCUGGCAGCACGGGCUGAGGUAACACGAUGGGAAUCUUCCUAUCGGCUACGGAAUAGCUCAGGGAAACUUGGGGUAAUACCGCAUACGCCCUUCGGGGGAAAGAUUUAUCGCCGAUAGAUGAGCCCGCGUCUGAUUAGCUAGUUGGUGAGGUAAUGGCUCACCAAGGCGACGAUCAGUAGCUGGUCUGAGAGGAUGACCAGCCACACUGGGACUGAGACACGGCCCAGACUCCUACGGGAGGCAGCAGUGGGGAAUAUUGGACAAUGGGCGCAAGCCUGAUCCAGCCAUGCCGCGUGAGUGACGAAGGUCUUCGGAUUGUAAAGCUCUUUUGGCGGGGACGAUAAUGACGGUACCCGCAGAAUAAGCCCCGGCUAACUUCGUGCCAGCAGCCGCGGUAAUACGAAGGGGGCUAGCGUUGUUCGGAAUUACUGGGCGUAAAGCGCACGUAGGCGGAUUGCUAAGUCAGGGGUGAAAUCCCGGGGCUCAACCUCGGAACUGCCUUUGAUACUGACAGUCUUGAGUCCGGAAGAGGUGAGUGGAAUUCCUAGUGUAGAGGUGAAAUUCGUAGAUAUUAGGAAGAACACCAGUGGCGAAGGCGGCUCACUGGUCCGGUACUGACGCUGAGGUGAA
rnacentral:rRNA from 1 species